rnacentral:rRNA from 1 species
GAGUUUUGAUCUUGGCUCAGAUUGAACGCUGGCGGCAUGCCUUACACAUGCAAGUCGAACGGCAGCACGGGAGCAAUCCUGGUGGCGAGUGGCGAACGGGUGAGUAAUACAUCGGAACGUGCCCAAUCGUGGGGGAUAACGCGGCGAAAGCUGUGCUAAUACCGCAUACGAUCUACGGAUGAAAGCAGGGGACCGCAAGGCCUUGCGCGAAUGGAGCGGCCGAUGGCAGAUUAGGUAGUUGGUGGGGUAAAGGCUCACCAAGCCAACGAUCUGUAGCUGGUCUGAGAGGACGACCAGCCACACUGGGACUGAGACACGGCCCAGACUCCUACGGGAGGCAGCAGUGGGGAAUUUUGGACAAUGGGCGCAAGCCUGAUCCAGCCAUGCCGCGUG